rnacentral:rRNA from 1 species
GACUUGAGUGCAGAAGAGGACAGUGGAACUCCAUGUGUAGCGGUGGAAUGCGUAGAUAUAUGGAAGAACACCAGUGGCGAAGGCGGCUGUCUAGUCUGUAACUGACGCUGAGGCUCGAAAGCAUGGGUAGCGAACAGGAUUAGAUACCCUGGUAGUCCAUGCCGUAAACGAUGAGUGCUAAGUGUUGGAGGGUUUCCCCCUUCAGUGCUGCAGCUAACGCAUUAAGCACUCCGCCUGGGGAGUACGACCGCAAGGUUGAAACUCAAAGGAAUUGACGGGGGCCCGCACAAGCGGUGGAGCAUGUGGUUUAAUUCGAAGCUACGCGAAGAACCUUACCAGGUCUUGACAUCUUCUGCCAAUCUUAGAGAUAAGACGUUCCCUUCGGGGACAGAAUGACAGGUGGUGCAUGGUUGUCGUCAGCUCGUGUCGUGAGAUGUUGGGUUAAGUCCCGCAACGAGCGCAACCCUUAUUAUCAGUUGCCAGCAUUCAGUUGGGCACUCUGGUGAGACUGCCGGUGACAAACCGGAGGAAGGUGGGGAUGACGUCAAAUCAUCAUGCCCCUUAUGACCUGGGCUACACACGUGCUACAAUGGACGGUACAACGAGUCGCGAAGUCGUGAGGCUAAGCUAAUCUCUUAAAGCCGUUCUCAGUUCGGAUUGUAGGCUGCAACUCGCCUACACGAAGUUGGAAUCGCUAGUAAUCGCGGAUCAGCAUGCCGCGGUGAAUACGUUCCCGGGCCUUGUACACACCGCCCGUCACACCAUGAGAGUUUGUAACACCCAAAGCCGGUGAGAUAACCUUCGGGAGUCAGCCGUCUAAGGUGGGACAGAUGAUUAGGGUGAAGUCGUAACAAGGUAACCAAGGGCGAAUCG